UAUUAGCCUAACAUACCCCAGCCAACCUAUUAAUCUCACUAUCAUGUUUCUUAUAACAAAUAUCAACUUUAGCACAUCAACGAAUCAAACGUAAUACGGAAGUGUUGACAUAAUAGUUAAUCCGUUGUUUUUUGCUAAAAGUACCCACCUAAUCAACGCUCCAAAAAAAGGACGAAGAUAUCAGAUCCUCACUUUCCUCACAGCACAACACCAAGCCACAAACCUCAAUCCUUAUCAAAAACCAUAACUCUCAACCCUCAAAUACGAUUAACCAUAUAUCCAUUUAAACAUCACUUUUCAAUCUAUAAACUUAGCAUUUCUCACCUUAUUAUUCGUAUAGAGUGAGUAGAGCACCAACAGAAAAAUUUCGAUAGCUUCCCUCCUCAAUUCUUGGCUCCAACUUUUGCUACCACUACAACAAAUUCAUGAUUUAGUGACAUUUACUCCACAGCAUUUAUUUAAAUUAUGCUAAUUAAUAUAUUCAAUAGCAUUACUUGAUAAUUACCGCUAGAUUUAAUAAUUUAGCAGUAAUUUGCUAUUAUUAUUGCAAAAUAGGAUAAAUUACCAGCGUAAAUUAGUGAAUACUACUAAAGUUUCCAGUAUUUUAUAAAAAAAUGAUACUAAAUGUAACGAAGUAGCAACACUUAUUGCUAAAUGCCGCGACAUUUACACCGCAAUAUUUAUUUAAAUCAUUCUAAUUAAUAUAUUUAAUAGUAUUACUUGAUAAUUGCCACUUGAUUUAAUAAUUUAGCAACAAUAUACUAUUAAUAUUGUAAAAUAGGAUAAAUUAACAGCGUAAAUUAGUGAACGCCGCUAAAUGUAAUAACGUAGUAGCACUUAUUGCUAAAUAUCGUCACUACUCAAUAUAUAAUUAUUAAUAUAUCCCAUUUUUACUUAGAAUUAAAAAUUUGAAAUUAAAGUUUAAAAAUUUGAAACUUAUAAUUUUAAAAAUUAAACUUAUAUUUUAAAAUUUAAAUUCUAAAAUUUAAAUUUUUAAUUUUUAAAUUUUUAAAUUUUUAAAUUUAUUGUAAAUUUUAAAUUUUAAUUUUAAAACUGCAAAUUUUGAAAUUUAAAAUUUGAUAUUUGAAAAUUAAAAAUUUAAAUUUAGUAUCUAAAUUUAGAAUUUAAAAUUUAAAAUUUAAAAAUUUAAAAAUUGAAGACUUAACAUUUAAAAGAUUCAAAUAUAUGUAAGUGAUACUCCCUAGCGCAAGUGGCAUAAGGCCUUGAUGGUUGGUACUAGAGGUCUCAAAUUCGAAUCCUAGUUGAUUCAAAUUUUCAGCAAAGUUUUUUUUUAAAAAAACAAAUAAACGAAGCAGG
rnacentral:lncRNA from 1 species